AGAGUUUGAUUAUGGCUCAGGAUGAACGCUGGCGGCGUGCCUAACACAUGCAAGUCGAGCGAUUUACUUCGGUAAAGAGCGGCGGACGGGUGAGUAACGCGUGGGUAACCUGCCUCAUACACAUGGAUAACAUACCGAAAGGUAUGCUAAUACAGGAUAAUAUAAGAGAUUCACAUGGAUUUCUUAUCAAAGCUCCGGCGGUAUGAGAUGGACCCGCGUCUGAUUAGCUAGUUGGUAAGGUAAUGGCUUACCAAGGCGACGAUCAGUAGCCGACCUGAGAGGGUGAUCGGCCACAUUGGAACUGAGACACGGUCCAAACUCCUACGGGAGGCAGCAGGUGGGGAAUAUUGCACAAUGGGCGAAAGCCUGAUGCAAGCAACGCCGCGUGAGUGAUGAAGGCCUUCGGGUCGUAAAACUCUGUCCUCAAGGAAGAUAAUGACGGUACUUGAGGAGGAAGCCCCGGCUAACUACGUGCCAGCAGCAGC
rnacentral:rRNA from 1 species